AUCUAAGAUCCAGGACUUGGGGGUCCCUAACUUUAAAUAGUGGGGUGCACUGAUUGUUUGGGAUCCGCCUCAAGACUUCAGCCUAGGUCUACCUAGGUGAUACCUCUCAAAGACUGGAGCCUUUCUUGUGUCCAGGCCCAGGUUUGAGGCCGCGAUGACUCAACGCAGCAUCCCCUCCCCUUGCUAAACCGCGGUCUCCGCCUACCCCCAAUCAAUCUCAAGGAAGCACUUUGGGCGCCAGGAUUCCAAGCACUUAGCUGGUGGGCAAAGGGGCUCAACCCCUUCCCCACAUCCCACCUUCCCUCCUCCCAGUCUUCGGGAUUGCGGAGCUCCUGCCGGGAUCCAAGAGCAGGCUCUUGGAGGUCGAAGAAGGAUAUAACCUCCAGACCUGGAAUUUAAGACGCAAGAACCAGCCAGCAAAAGUGGCAGACGAGCAUGCGAGGGACUGCUGAUGGCUUUUUAUUUGGAAGCUAUGCAACUUGAGGUUCUACUGAAAAGGAGAAGAGGCCGCUGGAGAUGGGAAGCCACGAAAACAUGAAGAUGUAGAAGUCUUAGCUCCUUCAAUGCUAUGUCUGCCAGGAUGCUGCCACACUCCCUUCUUGAUGAUAAUGGACUGAACCUCUGAACCUUCUUCAUUUAAACUGGCUCACCCAGAGGUGGGACAGAGUCAAUAACGCACCAGGAACCUGUUUGGAAGUACUAAGCGGUGGUUGCAUGAAAAGGGAAGGAGGAUCAACCACUAACACCUACAUGGACAGAGCCCCACCAACUUUAAGAAUCAGGAAGAAACUGGGUGUGGUGGCGCACGCCUUUAAUCCCAGCACUCAGGAGGCAGAAGCAGAGGCAGGCAGAUUUCUGAGUUCGAGGCCAGCCUGUUCUACAAAGGACAAGAAACUUCAGCAUUACUUCUGCAGAUUCACAAAGGAGUCCACGUUCCAAGAUGAGAGAAAUACCAGAAGCCGAUGGCUAUUCUAUUUGACUGAAUGAAAAGAAAAGGAAGGCACUUCCUGUCAAUCCUGCUUUGGAUUCCUAAACAGUUUAAGAAGCAUCAUUGAUCUGAUCAUUGGCACUGAGGAGGAAAUGCCCAUCUGCAGAAGACAUGCAGGGCUCAACCCAGCUUGACAUGGGUACAUUCUGUUGCCUACUUUCUACCUUGACGUCAUUUGGAGUAACAGCAGCCCAUGUUGUGAUAAUGGAGACAAUGAGUGCAUGGGAAAUUAUCAACUAACAAACACAGUACACAGAAAGGAGCUCUGGAGACCAGGGAGCACCCAAGCCAAUCCUGGAAACCGGAUUGGGCACAGUUUCUGUAUCUGCUAUCCUUCUAUAGCACAGAAAUGGAAACUUCAGCCAGAAGAGAGGAAUUCAGUGACUCCAUGCCAACAGAAACAGAGCUCUGCAUUUGUUUCCUGAGCCUACUUGCACUUGGAAGGUUUCUUUCCUCACAAGAAACAUGUGUUACAGGAUAUAAAAGUGGCUUUCAGUUUGGGGUUAGAACCCGAAACAGAAAGACAAUGGAGAAAAAUUUCAGCUCAGCCUUUCUAGAUUGGAAAUGAUGCAUGAAUGUUGUUGUUUCUCCAAGACUUCAGCACAGGUAUAACAUGGUGCUAAUUUAAUCACCCGGUGAAUCACCUUUUCUCUGUGAGAUGUUAACACUGAUGUAAGAUGUUUCCAUGUGAGGAACGGGAAAGACUUGAGACACAGAAAAGAUUCAAGGAUUGGUAAAUAGAAUAAUGUGGUCUGUACCCCACUAAUUUUUCUUGCCAUCCAUGAGAGGUCCUAUGGGCUGUAGCAAUGCAUCAUUUAGAUAGCCCCUUCAGAUGGUUCAUGGAAAACUAACAAAAAUUGAUGUUGU
ensembl:antisense 9530026P05Rik RIKEN cDNA 9530026P05 gene